UAAGGAAUAUUGCGCAAUGGGGGAAACCCUGACGCAGCAACGCCGCGUGGAGGAUGACACUUUUCGGAGCGUAAACUCCUUUUAUCAGGAAAGAAUAAUGACGGUACCUGAUGAAUAAGCACCGGCUAACUCCGUGCCAGCAGCCGCGGUAAUACGGGGGGUGCAAGCGUUACUCGGAAUCACUGGGCGUAAAGGACGCGUAGGCGGAUUAUCAAGUCUUUUGUGAAAUCUAGUGGCUUAACCACUAAACUGCUUAGGAAACUGAUAGUCUAAAGUAGGGGAGAGGUAGAUGGAAUUCCUGGUGUAGGGGUAAAAUCCGUAGAGGUCAAGAAGAAUACCCCUUGCGAAAACGAUCUGCUGGAACCUAACUGACGCUGAGGCGUGAAAGCGUGGGUAGCAAACAGG
rnacentral:rRNA from 1 species